rnacentral:lncRNA from 1 species
AGCAAUCCAGCCAAGACAAUGGAUGCUGGCACACGCCCUAUCUGGUUCCAGAAGAUUUGUUAUGCCUAAUGACCAUCAUGCCUGUAUGCACCUGUGCCCGUGUACGCCUGUGGGAUUAGAAUAGGGCACUGGAGUCCCUGGGACUGGAGUCACAUGCUUUUGACAGCUGCACCUUUGAGCCAUCUCUCCAGCCCCAUGAAUCCAAGCUCUCCCGCUGCUGAAACAACGUUCUGAAUGUGGAGCUGAGGAGUCGGCUUGGCUUGGUGGUUAAGAGCACUUGUUGCUCCUGCAGAGAACAUGGAGUUCCGAUUCUCAGCACUCACAUGGCAGCUCUGUUGUCUGUUACUCCAAGAGCUAUGGUGUCCUCUUCUGGCCUCUGUGGGCACCACCCAUGCACACACCCAUGCACAGACAUAUAUCCAU